AAUAACAAAUCCUUGCGGGCUUG
rnacentral:siRNA from 1 species